rnacentral:tRNA from 1 species
GGGCAGUUAGCUCAGGUGGUUAGAGCGCUACAUUGACAUUGUAGAGGUCACUGGUUCGAGUCCAGUACUGCCCACCA